CUGAAAAAAUCCUUAAUUUAAGACUUAUAAACAAUCCAUUGAAACUUGUUCUUCCACUUGUCAAGAUAUAAUUAGCUCACUCGUUUAAUUUACAUUUAAAUUUAAUUAGUUAAACAAAAUCAGUUAAAAUAACAAUAUCUUGUUAUUCAGAACCCUUUUUAGGAUCCAACUUUAAACAAAGUCAUUAUUUUUAUGAAAAUUGUAAAAGUUAGAAGUACAUAGGGUUAAUUAUCAACUUUCAUAAAUAAAAAUAUAUUUUAAAAAAUAUUAAAUAAAAUAUUUUGAGAAUAUUCAUUUUUAGAAGUAAAAAUAGAAGAAUACAUUGGAGAGAAAUACAACUCUAAAACAUAUAUUUUAGAGAUGAAAAUAGAGGAAUACGUUAGAAAUGUUCUAAUAGAAUUGAGUUAUAAUCAGGUGGUACUCUAUUUUAAAUAAAAAAUAAAGUGGCAAACUAAAUAAAUAAAUUACUAUAUUUAUAAAAUAAAUUUAUUUUUACUCUAUUAUAUAUUGAAAAAUAGAGUACCACUCAAAAUACUCUAAGGUAUGCAGAAUUAUUAACUGUAAAACAUAUUUAAGUUAAAAAAAAAAGUCAAACUAAAUUACAAAAUCAAAUAGGUAUCUAAAAUAUAAUUAUGUAUCCGAGUUAUUAGUGUUAUACUUAUAUCUAAAAUAACUAAAAUAAUUAAUUAUAAUUUGAAAAUAUUAUUUAUGUUUAUACUAGAUUAAUCAGAUUAUCUUAUAUAUAUAUCACUAGUCAUAGUGGCUAAAAAACAUUUUGCAAACUUAAUCCAAACUUCAUUCAAAUUGACAAAAAUAUUAUUUCUUGUGUGUUUUGGAUUAUUCGGUUUAAAAUUAUAUAUUUGUAUAUAUAUAUCACUAGUCAUAGUAGCUAAAAAACAUUUUGCAAACUUAAUCCAAACUUCAUUCAAAUUGACAAAAGUAUUAUUUCUUGUGUGUUUUGGAUUACUCGGUUUAAAAUUAUAUAUUUGUAUAUGAUAACAAACAAAUGUCAGAAAUAAGUAUUGAUUCUUGAAAAGAAAGUAAUGGCGGCAAAAAAACUUAAAAAGGAGGCUACCAGUAAGUCAGUAACUAGUAAGUUAAAACACUAAUUGGAUAUUUAAUUAGUCAUGCCGACCAAAACAAUGGCCAUGGCCUAACAAUGAAAUAGGUCAAACGGGUCAAAAUUAAACAAUAAAGCCUGAGCUAGUAGGGUCGUAAAAACGAAUUUCAACCAUUGCAUAUACUUUUGCUUUUAAUCUGGAGAUGAAUAACUUAUAUUUUAUGCAAGUGAUCUGACCGUUAUAGACUCACCAUCUCCCAGGCUUGUAUCUCUUGGCUUAGACUAUUCAAGGCAGGUUAUUUGCUGGUACAAACAAACUAACUAAAGAAGUUUAAAACUGAUGUUUUGUUCCAACAUACAAUCAUCUUCUAGCAUAAUCUCUAUACUUGCAAAUGUGGACAUAUGGUUUCAAUGUUGAUCGCCUUCCUAUUCUGUAUGAUGGAAUAUUUUUAUACAUGCAUAGAUAAACAUAUAAAAUAUCCACACAAAUCGGGGUUUUUAUAGAUUGGAACUUUUUUUUGAUAAAGGGUUUUCAUAUAGAAUGGAACUUCACUGCUAUAAUCUUCAGAAAGUAACAAUAUCUCAAGAUUUUUAGUUUCUGAUCUGGUCUGAUAUCCAUUCAUGGCUAUAUCUCAUCUUUCAUGAAAUUUUUAAUCAAAUGGAUGAAUUUGUUACUUGAUUUCUGUGCUUUUACAUCUAAGUCAUUUACAUUUUUAACGAACUCACCUCAUAUUGAUUGGCAUUAAUCAAAUACAACAGUGAGAUGGUCGGGAGUUCACGUAUACUAGAAUUUAACAUUGGAGGCGAUGGACACAUUAAUUUCACAACCCUCCUUACACUUUUCAGACUCUUGUGUUUGUGAAAAAUGUUAUUGCAGCGUAUUAAAAUCUAAUAUAAUUCCCAAGAUAUUAUAAUGAUGUAUACACACACUGGUACCUGACUUAAUAUGAAUGCAACUUCUUUUUUGUUGGAAUGUAACUUAUUUGUUUCAGUAAGAAAAGUAACUUAUUUGCUAAAGCAAAUGUUUUUUUAGAAAAUAGAUUCACAAAAUACACCGUCGAUGGUCCACAAAUUUACCAUUAUUAAUUUCAUAGAUACGUGUGAACGAAUAUAUAUACGUACACUCAGUUCGCACAUAGAUACACUUGACAAAUAUGCAACAUAUUAUUUUACUUUUCUCAAAAAAAAACACAUAUUUUUUUUUAUUUUAACACACAACAUAUAUUAUAUAAUACGGGUGUUUGCGCAUGCAUAUAUUUAUAAAGCCAUGCGAUAAUUGGUGGGUAGACAAAGGUACAGCAAGGAGUAGGUAGUAAACACUAUGAAUUGUUCCUUAACUAAACAGAAGAGUCAAAGAGAGAAUCUCAGUAUAAAGCUUAAACAAUUCAUUCACUUCUCUAUAUACUUUCUUAAAGGCAAUGUCCUCUCACUAUAUAGUAGUUACUAUAUUAUGAAAAAUAUUAAUUAGCUGCAAGAUUAUAUGGGUCGAUCGUGCCCUUUCUUUUCAUGGUUUGUUGUUGCAUUAUUACAGUGGACAAUAGAUAUGAGGUGUACCAUAUUUUCCGGUUAAUAAUAGCCCUUUAUUUGUAAGAAAAUAUAUGUGAAUAUAAUCAAUAUAUAUGAAAGAAGAUAACAAAAUGAAUAUAUUCGGAAUUUAAAUGAUAAUAAUAAAAAUUGGAAUGUGGAAUAAGGUGGAAGAGAUAGAGGAAUCCAUGUGUAUCCAAGCACUUGCAGACAAAAUGAGCUUCAGAGAAGAGAAAAGCAACCUUUAGCUUUUUAAGACCACCCGACUCAGAAAAGGAGAUUUCAAACACACUCUCUCCUCUUUUAGGGUUCUAAUACUUUUAUCCCUCCCUUUAAUUAUGUCCUGCGAAAUUUACGUCCUUCUCACUUAAUCGACCCACCACCAUGAUGCCAUCUCUCGUGCUCAUGCAUGUGUGAUCUGGAUGUUGAUGUGUAUGGAUGUCAUCAUGGAUGUCUAUAUUUAGUGAGGUGGUGUGAGAUGAUGAGAUGCAAAAGCAGACCCACAAGUAAUCCUUGUUUCACUCUCAAAAGACUAAACAAAUUAACCAAAAAUAAUUAUUUAUGCCCUAACUUUAGCAAUUUGCCUUCAUCCCUUCUUUCUUGCCCUUUCCUUAGGGUUUCUUGUGGGUCUUUCUUUUUUCAUUUUCAUGUGUUAUUUUUAUCUUUUUGACCCAAACAUCUCUCCUUUAAUAUGUUUGCCUCUUGUCUACAUAAUACAUAUAUACAUCUGAAUCUCUCUCAUCUCAUAAUUGUUUAUAUAAACCAUUUCUCCUCCUCUCACAGUCACCUUCCAUAUCUCCCUUUUCUCUCUCUCUGGAUCCUCAAUCUAGACCCUCAUAUUUUGUUUGUUGAUUCUCAUCUUCCCUUUUGUAUUUUCAAGAAAUCGUCAUUUAGGGUUUCAAGAACAAUAACCUCAAUUCUUCCUGAGGAAAGAGAGAAAACAAAAGAUCUCCUCAAUCUCAUUUUCUUACAUGCAAAUUACAAUUCAUGCUUUAGAUUGUUUCUAUAGUCCUCCAUAUUUGCUGUUUAUAUCUGUUCAUGCAUGUCCAGGUGGAGAUCUAGCUAGAUAUAGCUUCACUUAAAAAUAGAAUAAGAAAUCCGUUUUGGGCAAUUAGUUUCAAUACAUAAUAACAUGUAUAGGCAUCAUGACAUAUAUGCAUAUUUAUGUUGAAAUAUGAUAUAUUUGUAUAUAUGCCUGGCUCCCUGUAUGCCAUACACUAAGUUCAUCGAUCCUCGGCGACCUCCGUGGAUGGCGUAUGAGGAGCCAAGCAUAAUCUCAUCAUAUAUAUAUUUUCUAAUUACGUUAUGGUACUAAUUUGUUGAGCUUGUUUUGUAGGAAUCUAUGUUAAUUACUCCACCCAAUCAUGUGAAAAAGAUUAGAAGGUACCUCACUAAACCGUCUAGCUACCACCUAUGCUUCUUCUUGUGGUCUCGAAAUAUUCCACUGACAGAUAUUUUGUGGUAUAGGAGCUCCAGCUGGAGUGCCCGCCCCUGGGUUCGAGCCUUGGCCACUGCGGAAUUUACAUAUGGGCUGCAGCAUCCGAGACCGAAGACCGUUACACGGUGAGCCACAUGGUGACGCCCUGGCAGCGUCCUUGCUCACUUCGGUCUCUAGUCUGGACCACCUCGGUGGGGCCAGGAUACUCGGUUAGCAAAAAAAAAAUGUAUUUUUUUUUUGAUCAAAAUGAUCAACAUGUAUAUGUAAUCACUAAUCACUAAAGAAAAUGUGUGUUAAAAUAAUAGUGUAAGAGAUGGACCACACUAGUCCCCCCUAUACACCUUGCGAUUGGACAUUAGUGAAUGAUCAAUCUAUUUUUCUA